rnacentral:rRNA from 1 species
GACGUAGGGCGCGAGCGUUGUCCGGAUUUAUUGGGCGUAAAGGGCUCGUAGGCGGCGUGUCGCGUCGGGAGUGAAAGCCCGUUGCUUAACGGCGGGUUGGCUUUCGGUACGGGCAUGCUGGAGUGCGGCAGGGAGACUGGAAUUCCUGGUGUAGCGGUGAAAUGCGCAGAUAUCAGGAGGAACACCGAGUGGCGAAGGCAGGUCUCUGGGCCACUGACUGACGCUGAGGAAGCGAAAGCAUGGGGAGCGAACAGGG